rnacentral:rRNA from 1 species
GCCUAACACAUGCAAGUCGAGCGGUAAGGCCCUUCGGGGUACACGAGCGGCGAACGGGUGAGUAACACGUGGGUGAUCUGCCCUGCACUUCGGGAUAAGCCUGGGAAACUGGGUCUAAUACCGGAUAUGACCAAAGGCUGCAUGGUUUUUGGUGGAAAGGUUUACUGGUGCAGGAUGGGCCCGCGGCCUAUCAGCUUGUUGGUGGGGUAAUGGCCUACCAAGGCGACGACGGGUAGCCGACCUGAGAGGGUGACCGGCCACACUGGGACUGAGACACGGCCCAGACUCCUACGGCAGGCAGCAGUGGGGAAUAUUGCACAAUGGGCGAAAGCCUGAUGCAGCGACGCCGCGUGAGGGAUGACGGCCUUCGGGUUGUAAACCUCUUUCAGCAGGGACGAAGCGAAAGUGACGGUACCUGCAGAAGAAGCACCGGCCAACUACGUGCCAGCAGCCGCGGUAAUACGUAGGGUGCAAGCGUUGUCCGGAAUUACUGGGCGUAAAGAGCUCGUAGGCGGUUUGUCGCGUCGUCUGUGAAAACUCGAGGCUCAACCUCGAGCUUGCAGGCGAUACGGGCAGACUUGAGUACUGCAGGGGAGACUGGAAUUCCUGGUGUAGCGGUGAAAUGCGCAGAUAUCAGGAGGAACACCGGUGGCGAA